GGGUGCGAUCAUACCAGCAUUAAUGCACUGGAUCCCAUUAGAACUCUGCAGUUAAGCACGCUUGGGCUAGAGUUGUACUGGGAUGGGUGACCUCCCUGGAAGUCCUAGUGUUGCACCCU
rnacentral:rRNA from 1 species